ACAAAAUCAAACUAAGAGAAGUACUUGAAUAUUUUUGGCUACAGAAAGUCGGCGAUGAUGAGAGUCCGGUACCAAGAAAUCAAGGAAAUGGCCUUAGCCGAUCAUUUUUUGAACCCUUUUUUGGCAGUAGGAAAAUGCGGGAACUCCCGUUAUAGAGGAAGACCGUUGUUAGACGGUUGAUAGAGAUGAAGUUGUUUAUUUGGGCAACUUCAAUUGAGGUGGUACCGCGAUCAUUCGCCCUCAAG
rnacentral:ncRNA from 1 species